GAUGAACGCUGGCGGCGUGCCUAAUACAUGCAAGUCGAGCGAACGGACGAGAAGCUUGCUUUUCUGAUGUUAGCGGCGGACGGGUGAGUAACACGUGGAUAACCUACCUAUAAGACUUGGAUAACUUCGGGAAACCGGAGCUAAUACCGGAUAAUAUUUUGAACCGCAUGGUUCAAAAGUGAAAGACGGUCUUGCUGUCACUUAUAGAUGGAUCCGCGCUGCAUUAGCUAGUUGGUAAGGUAACGGCUUACCAAGGCAACGAUGCAUAGCCGACCUGAGAGGGUGAUCGGCCACACUGGAACUGAGACACGGUCCAGACUCCUACGGGAGGCAGCAGUAGGGAAUCUUCCGCAAUGGGCGAAAGCCUGACGGAGCAACGCCGCGUGAGUGAUGAAGGUCUUCGGAUCGUAAAACUCUGUUAUUAGGGAAGAACAUAUGUGUAAGUAACUGUGCACAUCUUGACGGUACCUAAUCAGAAAGCCACGGCUAACUACGUG
rnacentral:rRNA from 1 species